AUUGAACGCUGGCGGCAUGCCUUACACAUGCAAGUCGAACGGCAGCGCGUCCUUCGGGAUGGCGGCGAGCGGCGAACGGGUGAGUAAUACAUCGGAACGUGCCCGAGAGUGGGGGAUAACGCAGCGAAAGCUGUGCUAAUACCGCAUACGAUCUCAGGAUGAGCCCGCGUAGGAUUAGGUAGUUGGUGGGGUAAAGGCCUACCAAGCCGACGAUCCUUAGCUGGUCUGAGAGGAUGAUCAGCCACACUGGGACUGAGACACGGCCCAGACUCCUACGGGAGGCAGCAGUGGGGAAUAUUGGACAAUGGGGGAAACCCUGAUCCAGCAAUGCCGCGUGAGUGAUGAAGGCCUUAGGGUCGUAAAGCUCUUUUACCAGGGAUGAUAAUGACAGUACCUGGAGAAUAAGCUCCGGCUAACUCCGUG
rnacentral:rRNA from 1 species